ACAGUCUGGUUCAGUGGCUCUCAGCGCCCCCCACUGUACAGAUUGUUUCACCCCCCUGCCUGGGACUAGGAGCCGGGGAUAAGAACGGGGAACAGCUGGUGGGGGGUGAACCUAGGGCUGGGGGAGGCAAGCCCCUCCCCCCCAGUGUAGGGGCAGGACCCCAGCCCCUGAGUACCCCCAAUAUCCCCUCCCCCACCUGCUGAGCACGGAGCCCAGGGAGGUUGCACGGCCCCAGCCAGAACCUCUGGGGCAGCCUAAGGAGAAGCCUGACCCGCUCCCCACAGGGGCCCUGCACCCACCUCCGCACUCAGCUGUGACUCUCAGCCGGCCUGGAAAACAGAAGGUUUAUUGGUCGCUGGGAACACAGGGUAGAACAGAGCUUGUUAGCACAGAAAUCAGGAGCUCUCAGCAAAGUCCGUCUGGGGGGGAAUCCAGAGUCUGGAGCCCUGGACUCUUCUCUUGUGAGUCCCAAACCAUGAGGAAACUGAGGCGCACACACUAUUCGGAGAAAAUAUUAAGAACAUUCCUGCUUCAUCCUACCCCUCUGAGACCAGCCCAGGGGCACUUUCUCCAGUGGCUGGAACCCCUCUAACCACACCAGCCCCUGAGCCUGCAGGCUGAGGAAUCGCGUCCACGUUUCGCUCCAGAUCGUCCCGUCUUCCAGAGGACAGAGAAGGGAAAUGGCUGUGAUGGAGACAGCUCAGAUGCCGGUGACCUUCGAGGAGGUGGCUGUGUAUUUCACCCAGGGGCAGGGGGCUCUG